CGCUGGGUCCGCGCGCCCCGGGCCCGGCGAUGUCCGCUGGGGGGAGCGAGGGGCGGGGCG
rnacentral:miRNA from 1 species